rnacentral:rRNA from 1 species
UACGGGGGGGGCAAGCGUUGUUCGGAAUUACUGGGCGUAAAGGGUUCGUAGGCGGCCAACUAAGUCAGACGUGAAAUCCCUCGGCUUAACCGGGGAACUGCGUCUGAUACUGGAUGGCUUGAGUUCGGGAGAGGGAUGCGGAAUUCCAGGUGUAGCGGUGAAAUGCGUAGAUAUCUGGAGGAACACCGGUGGCGAAGGCGGCAUCCUGGACCGACACUGACGCUGAGGAGCGACAGCGUGGGGAGCAAACAGG